CAGAGACUGCAGGCGUUAUUCGGAUUCACUGGGCGUAAAGGGUGCGCAGGCGGCCAAGUGUGUGAGGCGUGGAAGCCCGAAGCUUAACUUCGGAAUUGCACCUCAAACUACAUGGCUAGAGCAUUGGAGAGGGUAGCGGAAUUCACGGUGUAGCAGUGAAAUGCGUAGAUAUCGUGAGGAACACCAGAGGCGAAGGCGGCUACCUGGACAAUUGCUGACGCUCAGGCACGAAAGCGUGGGGAGCAAAAGGGAUUAGAUACCCCUGUAGUCCACGCCCUAAACGGUGCACACUAGGUCUUGGCGGAUUCGACCCCCCAGGGCCCAAGCUAACGCGUUAAGUGUGCCGCCUGAGGACUACGGCCGCAAGGCU
rnacentral:rRNA from 1 species